UACGUAGGGUGCAAGCGUUGCCCGGAUUUAUUGGGCGUAAAGGGCGCGCAGGCGGCUCGGCACGUCCGUUGUGAAAUCGCCCGGCUCAACUGGGCGGGGUCAGCGGAUACGGUCGAGCUUGAGCAAGCUAGGGGGCAAUGGAAUUCCCGGUGUAGUGGUGGAAUGCGUAGAUAUCGGGAGGAACACCAGUGGCGAAGGCGGUUGCCUGGAGCUUUGCUGACGCUGAGGCGCGAAAGCGUGGGGAGCGAUCCGG
rnacentral:rRNA from 1 species